ACGAACGCUGGCGGCGUGCCUAAUACCUGCAAGUAGCACGCUGAAGGAGGAGCUUGCUUCUCUGGAUGAGUUGCGAACGGGUGAGUAACGCGUAGGUAACCUGCCUGGUAGCGGGGGAUAACUAUUGGAAACGAUAGCUAAUACCGCAUAAUAGUAGAUGUUGCAUGACAUUUGCUUAAAAGGUGCAAUUGCAUCACUACCAGAUGGACCUGCGUUGUAUUAGCUAGUUGGUGGGGUAACGGCUCACCAAGGCGACGAUACAUAGCCGACCUGAGAGGGUGAUCGGCCACACUGGGACUGAGACACGGCCCAGACUCCUACGGGAGGCAGCAGUAGGGAAUCUUCGGCAAUGGACGGAAGUCUGACCGAGCAACGCCGCGUGAGUGAAGAAGGUUUUCGGAUCGUAAAGCUCUGUUGUAAGAGAAGAACGAGUGUGAGAGUGGAAAGUUCACACUGUGACGGUAUCUUACCAGAAAGGGACGGCUAACUACGUG
rnacentral:rRNA from 1 species